AGAUGAUUAAUAGCACUUACCUCAAAGGCUUGUGAAAAUCAGAAUAGCUUAUAAAUUCUUUUGCAAGAUUUGGGUAUCAAUAGAUGGUUUUAUUUUGCCAUUCCCUAAUGGAUGAAUAAAUGAAAACAUCUUUGUUUUCAGUUCUUUGAUGACAUAGUUUAAACAUUUUUUUACUUCACAUAGCAAUAUACUACUUCAAAUUUCAAUUCCCCAUUAGCCUGGGAAUUUUCUCCACAGAUAACUUCAUUUUUUUGUCCUUCAGCUUACCCCCAUUUAUCUGCCACCUCCCUCCUAAAGAAAAAUAUACAAUAGGUGAGCAAGAAUUCUAUGGAUACCUGUUUCAAAUCAUAUCCAAUUCUAUUGGACAGCCAAAUGGAAGCAUUGCAUAGUGGCUGGUCCUUGUCAUCAGUGAACCACUGAAGAGCCCACAAAACAUGUUUCCGUGGUCCUGGCUUCACUCACUGUGUACUGGAGCCAAAGCCACGGGCUGGUGUCUGUUCCUGGAGAGCUUGCCUUCAUCUCUCCAGGGGUGGUGAGGUUGCUCAGUGGUCUGGUGUCAAGAAGAUAUGACUUCAAAUGUGGCUGCUAAUACUUACUAGCUGUGCUCUAAUCACAGAUGUUGACAACCUAUGGCUACCUUCCUUCUUGGGUCCCAAUUUCUGGAGGAAGGAUAUGUAAAAUAUGAGGGUGCUGGACUGGAUGAUCUCAAGCAUUCUUUCCAGACACAGAAUUUGAUGAGUCUACGAGCUGCUUUCAAAUUAUUCUCUAGGAGGAAGGGAGAUGGACCAGCCCUCCACAAAAUUGUCCAAAUGAUGAUGUUUUAUAAAUCCCAAACCAAGGCACGUAUUUAA
rnacentral:lncRNA from 1 species